rnacentral:lncRNA from 1 species
GAAAACAUCCCAUGUAAGACUAUGUCUGGGACAUAGCUUUGGCAUGUAUCAUCAGACAAGAGACUCGAGUAUCCUUAGUAUUCCAAGUGAUUCAACGGGCUAGUAAAUAGACCAUGUUACAUGAAAGUUCAGAUAAAAGCAUAAUAAUAAAUUUAGGUGAGUUAUAAGGAUUGAGAAUAUCUCAGUUAUCAUUUGAGAAAGAAAUU